AAUGACUCUCGGCAACGGAUAUCUCGGCUCUCGCAUCGAUGAAGAACGUAGCGAAAUGCGAUACUUGGUGUGAAUUGCAGAAUCCCGUGAACCAUCGAGUCUUUGAACGCAAGUUGCGCCUGAAGCUUCGGCUAAGGGCACGUCUGCCUGGGCGUCACGC
rnacentral:rRNA from 1 species